rnacentral:lncRNA from 1 species
GCCAACCUUGUGAGGUAUGACCAUUUUACAGAUGAGGAAUCUGAGGCACAGAGUAAUCCAAGUUAAGCAACACAAGUGAAGCCCUACAGCUUUGAGCUGGAAGGAGGCUACUCCAAUUCUAUAAUAUCCUUCCUCAUGUGACUUGGC